UAAUAUUUUGUAUUUCUGCACCUUUGAUGCCUUUUAUAUCUGAUUUAUCUCUUGACAACAUAGGCAAUGCCAUCGAUUAAGACCCUCACCUUCAAUAUUAUGAGCUCGCUUAUUAUUGGGAUAGAGGAAAGUGCAAAAAGAGACAUACUCCUACAGCUCUUCGAACAACUGAUGGAGGGUGUUCUAUCAGUACCAUUCAAUUUUCCCUUCACACGAUUCAAUCGAAGCCUCCAAGCAAGUGGGAAAAUCAGACCGAUUUUAGAGGAUCUUAUCCGAGAAAAAAGAGCUGCACUGGAGCAUGGAACUGCCUUUCCUCAACAAGAUCUUAUCACGACCUUGCUUGUCUCCGAAACGAGGAGAAUUCAGCAGUAUUAACUGAUGAGGAAAUUAUAGAUAAUGCAAUCGUGAUAAUGAUAGCAGGCUAUGACACCUCCUCCGUCCUCCUCAGUUUGUUGAUCAGGCUUUUAGCCGAUGAUCCAUCUAUUUAUGCCAGCAUCCUUCAAGGUAUGUAACUAAAUUGAUUCAAUAAAAACCAAAUAAUAUUGCAAGAAAUCAUAGCAAACACUACGAUUUGAGAUUGCAGAACAAGCAGAGAUUUCCAAGAAUAAAGCCUCUGGGGAGCUCUUAACAUGGGAUGAUCUCACAAGAAUGAAACAUACAUGGAGUGUAGCAUCGGAGACCCUAAGGAUGACCCCUCCUGUAUUUUUUAUCUUCAGGAAGGUUCUCAAAGAUUUUGAAUAUGAAGGGUACCUGAUACCCAAAGGAUGGCAGGUGUGAUAUGAUUCUGAGCUUGCAUACCUUAUCAUUAAUAUAGUUUAACCAAAACACUUCAAAACAUAUAUAAUGCUGUACAAAGUUACCACUUUUUUGACUCAGGUAAUGUUGUCGACCAUCAUGACACAUAUGGAUGACAGCAUCUUCCCACAUGCAUCAAGAUUUGAUCCAGAACGUUUCCAGAAUAAAGCAUCAGUCCCGCCGUAUAGUUUUGUAUCAUUCGGGGGAGGAGCACGCAUAUGUCCUGGAUUUGAAUUUGCAAGACUUGAAACUCUGAUCACAAUACAUUACCUGGUGAACAGGUUCGUUUGGAAGCUCUGUCACCCUGGCAUUUCUUUUUCAAGAGAUCCAUUUCCACUCUUCAAGGAUGGACUGGAGAUAGAAAUUGAACCAAGGACCCCUCUGUGAUAGAUAACUAAAUGCAUGCUCUAAUGUGUGUCUUUAUGUGUGUAUAUAUAUAUAUAUAUAUAUAUAUAUAUAUGCACUCUGUCCUUCAAUUUGCAGAAUGUUCUGUUGAAUAAUUACUUAAAGUUGAAUCCAGAUAUGAGGGAACUUCCAUCUGUGUGUUUGUAGCAUUGCUAAUUGCCGAGCAAUUUCAGAUUUCCUUUUUUUUCAAGUUAAUGAUGUAGGGAAUCGAACAGUCGGAUGUGAAUAUGUUGUAACUGGAGCACGCGGAAAGCUUAGGGUGAACCUUAGGCAUGGUUAUAGGUUUUCUCAACAAGGGAGAGAGAUCGAAAUCCUCUCUUUCUCGAGAUCCCCUGAAUCGCCGCAUCCCCUCUCUCCCGCAACGGGGCUAAAGCUGACGGUCCUAGGUGGUGAAUCACUAAACCGGCGGACACAUCUAUGGAUCAAUGAGACCAUCUAAAUAGCUAAACUAUGCUAUUGAUUUUAGGGGGUGUGAAAAUGGAGAGAGACUUGUUAGGAUUUUUCACAGUUUUGGAUAGUUUCAAGGCAUAUGUGGAUCCUGCUCCCCGCAUCAUCAAGAACUUUCUUGCUUCUCAAGCUGGGACAAAUAAGUUUGAUGAAUGCAUAGACAUUUUUUAGUUUCUCAGACACAAAAACUCUAUGAACAGAACCCAUUAAUUAAAGUGAAAAAAAGAAGAAGAGGAUUUGAUAGAAAAAUCGUUCAAGUGGAUGUUACACUAUUAGGAAAUUGAAAAAAAAAAGCAACGGAAACACCAACGAAAAAUAUUUCAUCACUGUUUACUAUAAAAAUUACAACGCAAAAUUUCCGCUUGUAAUUUCCAGCAGAAAUGGUGACGGAAUAAAAAAAAAUCAUCAACAAUUUCGUCGGCAUUUCUAAAGUGUUAAAUUGCUGACAUAAUUCUCAUAAAAGAUUGUAAAAUGAAUUAAAAACCUGACAAUUCUCUCUUCUCCAUCCCCUCCUCUUUAUCUUUUUUCAUUUCAAUUCAAGCCCUAACCCUAUUAAUUUCUUCAAGUUUUCGACAAGCCCCCUCUAAAAUCUGGUCACCCAACCCGCCAAUGCAACCUCCCUCUCUUAAUUCUAUUUAAUAUCAAGCUUCGCUUCAUUAAGAAAAAAAGUCCAUUUAUUUUUGUUGUAACACCCAUUUAUAUUUAAAGUUAAUUUAUUGAAAUUUGUUUAUAGAAUUUAUAGUUUGCAUGUAUAUUUAAGUAUUUUGUUUGUUUUGUAAUUAUAAUUUUAUUAUAUUAAUAUAUAAUUUGUAUUUUAAAAUUUAUUUGGGAUUUUAAAAAAUAGAUUUAAGAUGUUAAUCGAUGAAAUUGAUUGUUUGGGAUUUCUAUAAAGCUAGUAUCCACAUCAAAUAUUGUUUUUUUGCAUGUUGCUUUUUAUGACCUUCGAAUCCCCACCCUGAAAAUCACACAAGCAAUCAUGUUUCGGUUGCUCUACAUCCUUGUUAGUACCACGAAUAAAUUAUUAGAAUUUGUUUUUGCUAAUAACGCACCCGAAUAUGCAAACAUGGUUAAUGCAUAUUCUCUUUAAUAUUGAUUUUGUUGAUGUAAAUAUAUUUCACUUAAUAAAUUUUUUUUUAAUAUUUAUCAAAUAUUUUAUUAAUGAAUGAAAGUAUAGAUAAAGUUCUUAGAACAAAAAUAUUUUGUAAAUAAAAUUAUCAAGUUAUUAUAAUUAUAAGAUUUUUAUUACAUCAAAAUAUUGUUUCUAAAUAUUCUUGGUAAAUAUUCUAUUAAAACUGGAAAUUAAUUAAAGCUAUUAAGACUUGUACAUAUUAUAUUCUUUCCUUUAUGAAAUAAAACAGUUGUUUUCAUAAGUUAAGAUAUGAUCGAGGGAUACCAAUAACUAAUAUGUAGGUUCUUGUUGGAUAACAUGUACACCAAACUAACUCGCAUGAGAAUUAUAUAUGGAAAGAUCACUUGUGUACAUGGAAGGAUUAUAUGACCGUUGUGUAAGUGAUCCUUAAACUUGAAAUUACUAAGUUAUUUUAUAUAGAGAGUAUUAUGUUUUGAUCUUAUUACAUGUUAUCCUUAUCAAAGGUAACAAAUGAGCAGGUAUUAGGUAUGGCAUGAACUAUAUGAAGAUAUUUAAGUAAUCAAAAGAGGAUUCAUCACUUUAGAUGAAUUGGAAAAAAUAUUCCACGUGUUCUCAAAUAAUAUUGAUUGUAAAUUUUUAUAUAAGGUGGAAUGAGAUUCGAAAAGAGUUUUAAAUCUUAUUCAAAUAAUAAAUGACUAUGAUAUUGAAAACAAACAUGAUUUGAUAUAAUAGAAAAAAAUCACCCAUGUUGUAGUUUCCCUCUUUUUUUUUCCUUCGGAAAGAUGAAUGAGAGAUAAGGGUCAAGUUUUUUUCUUUUUUUUCUCUUACGGUUUAGGGUUAUUAGACUUCACACAAUUUCAUAGGUUACAUUCCUUGAUAUAGUUUAACAUGGAAGCUCUAUGGCUGAGCUUUUUGUUUUUUUAGAAUGUGUUUGGCAUUUUAGUAUCUUUUGCUCUUAUAAUUUGAAUUUUUUUAUAAAAAAAAACUCCAAAUUUAUUAUAUAUUUUGAUUAAUCAACAGUGGUUGCAGAUCUGUUUUAAUUGGAUCAUGUGAAAAAGACAUUUAUAGAUUAGUAGACCAGAUCUAAACCUAAAAAGAGUUUUAGCCAUGUCAAACGACUUGUUUGAUAAAAAAGCUCUUAACUUAGAUUAAGAAACCUUAAAUUAGCCUCUCAAGUUUUUUUUUUUUUCAAUUUCAUCUUUCAACAUUAGAUUGAUUGAGAAUUAAGCUUCAUAAUUUGUUACCGUUUGUUUUCUAUUGAGUUAUUUCAAUCUCAUAACCCAGGUUGAGAUUUUGGCAAGUUAACCCGUGUUAACUCAAAUUGUUUUUUAGGUAUUUUUUUAAUUGAUUUUUUCAAUUUCUUCCUUCAACAUUAGGUUUAUUAGGAAUUAAGCUUCGUAAUUUGUUUUGAUUUAUUUUUUUAUAUUAUGUUUAUUAUGAUCUAAUGACUUAGUAUGCAAAUUAACAAGUUAACAUAGAUUGAUCCGAAUUGUUCAAAUAUGUUGUUGUCUCAAUGUUUAUUUAAAAAAAUCUCAUCUUAAAUAUUUAUUUUGAGUCAAAUUAUAUUUUUAAAGGUUAUUUUGGUUGCUUUUGAGCCCGUCAAGGUAAUCAAGUCACAUCAGAUCAAUUCCCAUAUGAUUUUAAAUUUUUUUCUGCUAAAAAAAAUAUUAGUAAUGCCAAGAUAUUUUUUUACUUUAAUUUUUUUAUCUCAUCCGCAGUAUAGCAAGAGCCAAUUAUCUAGUAAUUAAUUAAACAUCUAAAAGAACUAAUUCCCUUAGUUAGCAUCAUUAUUCAUAUGAAUUGUAAAAUUGCUCCUCAAUAAUUUAUUUAUUUUUAUUUUCAUCUUUUUUUAAAAAAAAAUUAUCCUUAGAUUUUGUUUUAUUUAAUUCUUUCUUGAUAUAAUUUCAUGAGAUAAAGUUUUAAAUUGUAGUAGAAAAUAAAAUUAAAAGAUAGAAUAUUACAUUAUAAAUCAUGGAGAAAAUACAUGGCCAAUCUUUUUAGAAAUUUUAUUUUGAUCUAAAAAUUUAUUUUAUUUAUUUUUGUAGUCUUUGAGUUUGAGAAAAGAGAAAGAAACUUGUUGAAAAGCGGUAAAAAAUAGAAAAAAAUAUCGAUUAACCACAUUUAGCCACACAAAAAAAAAAUCUUUGUCAAUAGAUUUAUCUUCUCAAGAAUAAUUUAAUGAAGAUAGUUUGUUUAAAAAUAUAACAAAAAAAAAUAGAUUGAGUUUUUAUUUAUUUAUUUUAAUUCAAUUAAUUUUUAUAUUUUAAAGUGAUUUUAGAAUAUGUGGGGGUUAUCAAGAGCUUUUUUAAGAUGUGCAUUAAAGUGAAAUGAGUUAAAAUUGAGUUUUUGGAAUAUGAAAACAUGUACCUUUUGUGAUAAUUAUUGGAGGCGGCUGGAAAAAUACCAAUCGCCUUCCCCUAUAGACAACUUGUUGCUCGCAUUGAAAAGAAGAAAAUACAAAAGCGGACAGAGACAUUAUGGUUCACAUAAUUACUAAAGCAUUGGGAUGAGAUUAUUACAUCUUACAUCGUUAGAUGCUUUAAUACUCUGUUCUCAAAGGGCUCACUUUGUUGUUUUGUUGAUUAUUGUAAAAUCUCUACGCAUUUUCAACGAUUCCUGUGUCCACCUGUAUAAUACAUAGACUCUGUAUUGUCGGGAUUUCUAAGGUUUCUCAAUGAGUAAUAAUCUAAAAAUAGUUGUCUUGCAACGUUAUGUACAUGAGAGCUACACCAGAAAGGAAAGAGGAUCCAUGCACCUGAGCUGGUCCUUGGAAGUUACUCGGUGAUAAGAGAUGUCUGCUAAUGCGAUUAUGCCACCUUUUUUAGUACAGAAUCUCCAAAAGCUCUAGACAUUGCUAAGCCUAGAGAAUCUUCAUGAGGUGUAGCCAGACUCGAUGGACGUGUAGCUCUUCCUCUAGUUCAAGUACUCUGCCAUUACAUUUUCUUAUUUUUUCUGCUUCGCCUGGAUUAUAAGAGGAUCCAAUUGAAAAAAUGAGUUGCAUAUGAUCAUGAAAAAUCUGUAGUUAAUUGAACAGGCACGAUUCCAUUCUGAUCAUUGAUUCUGCCCAACGCUAGCUAGCUGCUCUUAAGUCUCGAUCCAAGACUUGCUAUAAUAAGAUCGUCACCUGUUUUCAUGAGCCCAGCUCGUGGGUUUGAUGAUUUAAGGAUUAGGGUGGCUAGAGCCGCAGCUUCUGGUGGUUGUUGAGGUUGUGGAGUGAGGUUGGUUGUGGUGAUCGUAAAGGGGUAGGGUUUUAGCGGCUGUGAUUUUUUGAGAGUUGAAAGAAGUAAAGAAUAAGCAUGUACCAUAUAAUUCAAUCACUCAUACUGAUGACAUAACUUCCAUAAACACAAUCUUAAUUCGUACAAAUUGCGCAAACCAAUAAAAAAAAAAGAGAGUACAAGGUCCGUCCUGAAACACAACAGGACAAGAUCGAUGAGACUGGUAACCAAUAAGUGGCUAUUUUCUUCUAUAUAGAAAGUAGAGCAGAGAUAUCAUGGUGAAGACAACUCCUUCCAGCAAUAUAAACUGACCAGAUGAUCAGGAUCGAUCGUGUGCUUGUUUAGUGAAGCCAUCUACUCUUGUGAGGAAGACAAGGCCAAUAUGUCCGGAUCUUGUUGGAAGUGAAGCAUAUCAAUUUCCUUUAAGGUCAUCCAUGCCUCAAUUCCGUCUCCAAAUUUGUCGUCCUUCAGAAUACUAACAUCUAUAGGAAAAUUCAUUGCACUCAUCCAUGCAGGCUUUCCCCAGCCAAAGUUUGCUUCCUCCAUACCCAGCCUACACCAGCUUGAGAACUUGAAUGUAUCUACUUCACCCUUGUUCAAUUCUUCAAACAACUCUUUAUGGUACUUAGUUACCAUUGAAAACACAUCGUCGCUGUUUACUGCAUUUGCGCAAUCUGAAAUGGCUUUCCUCUUAGCAUCCCUCAGGAGACUCGCAAUGUCACUCAACUCUAACCUAUUGCUCUCACCAUUUGCAUUGAAUCUAGAAAUGAAAGGCAUAUACAUGUUCCCACAAGCAUUUUCAGGUAAAGGCAUAGUCACCUUUCCUCUCAGCGUCAUUAGCUGGCGCACUGAUGAUGCUCUCAGGUGUCCGUGCUGUGCUUUAACUGAACCAAUGAGAGCCUUCCAUAUAAGUGCUGUGACCACCUCUAAGCGCGAAUGAUGGUACUUGACUCCUGAAUCGGUGCCACCACUAAUUUUAGAUUUCAGCUUGUCUAUGGCUUCCUUGUUAAACACAAAUACUUUUGUGACAAUCUUAGGUUGAACUUUUGGUACUGCUGGUGGAAAAUUGAGACGUAAAUCUCUUUGUGGGAAGAGAAAUGGGCAAUCAAAUCUUGGACGACGAACCUGAUCACUUAUCCCACGUUCUCGGAAUGCUGUAGCCCAUGCAUUGAUGAAUGUGGAGAUUGUUGGUAUAUCAGCUAACCUGUGCGAAGUGAGCAAGCCGAUCGCUAAACCUCCACACUUAAACUUGUUGAUUUGGAUGGCUAAUAAACGACCAGUGUCUGAUGCAGUUACACAAGGAACAAAAUGAUCCAGCAGAUCAAGAUUGCUAUUGGGGUCUUGUUGGAUAAUUUGUGUGAGGUCUACCCCAUCUACUUUGGCUUCCAGGAACUCCACCCCUUCAUCAUUACAAUCAACUGAGAGAUUAUCUUCGAUGUAUCUUCCUGCUAGAGGGUAAAAGAGGGUUAAUAUUUCGGACAAAGAUUUCUCUAGAUCUUCGAUGUUAUUGACAUGGUGGUUGUUAGGAUAGUAGAAAAUAUUGGGUACAUUCAGUGAAGGAGCAAGCUGAUCGAGAAAUGAUAUGUUCAGAUUCUGAAGGUGAGGAGGAGUUUGAACCGAUGGUUUUAUUAGCUUUCUAGAUAUGAGCUGAACCUCCAUUGCCAGCUUGCUGUAUUUCGCCUCGAUCAUUGCCUUUCCCCCUUUUAAUAGCUACGUACUGAGAUGGUAGGUGGAAGUUGAGUAGGAACUUGAAAGUUUGAUGAAGUGAUCAACCUAAUCUCUUAGAUUAUUUGUUUAUUGUUUCCAUGUAUUUCCUUUGACUUAAUUUGGUAUAGAACUUAUGUAUGCUUGUGUAGGAAGAAAAUCUAACGGUUCAUAAAGGUAUAGAACUUGUGUAUGCUUGUGUAGGAAGAAAAUCUAACGGAUUCAUUUAUGAACCAGUGAAAUACAAUAUGUUAAGUCUAAGAUUUUGUGCUAACAGAUUCAUUUAUUUUCAGCUUUAUUGUUGUUUCAACACCACGAUAUCCUCAGAUUCAUUUAUUUUCAGCUUAAUUUUAGAUUUUAUUCCUAAUUCUUUUUCUUUUUUAUCUAGGAUUCUAAUUUUUCUACUUUGUAAAGUUCAGUUUUUUUCACCUAUUUAAGAAGUUAUAAAAUUUAUCAGAGAGGCAUAAUACAUGUCCGAGAUAAUUAUUCAGAAAUAAAAUACAAAUCCAUCUACCCCAUUUGAACUUCGCUUUUGCAAUUCCCAGUCAAUCAUAAAGAAAGUUCAAUGCGUCAAUUUUGAAAACCCAAAUUGGAAACGGAAACGAGAGAUGAAGACAAGUUCAACGCGUCAAUUUUGCAAGAACCCUGUUUCUGGUAUUUUCUUUAUUCUUCUGAACACAGCAAGAGUGACUGACUUUAUCCUGGAAGUGUAAUGAUGAUGUGGCGUCCUCUGGGGCGUGGUCUGGUGGUAAAAGACUUGAGAUCUACAUGGCAGGUCUCGAGUUCGAGUCAGAACAUAUAAUUCUUAUAAAAAUCUGGAACAGCUGAUGUUUUACUCACUCACCUAUACCACAAAGUAUGCUUUCCGAAAGAUGAGGUUUCUUCAAAUAAAAAAGUAAUAAUAAUGCGGCAUUUGCAGAAGGGUUUGGACACUGAUAUGGCUAUCUUUAUUUUCCUUGCAUGCCAACACAGUGUCUUCGUCUUCAUCUGUGGACACUUUAAUUGUUCUGUUCAUCAUAAAGGAAGAUGCUGGGAGGUUGGCUCCAGCCUCCACUUUUGACCUCUGUAUAUCAAACAAAUUAUAGGGGACAGUGACCGGAAAUGAGAGGGCCGAUAGGCCAUGGCAAAGAAUUGGCUACCUCCAUUCUCAAUUAUUGGCAAUACUUAAAUUAACAUUACUGUAACUUUGAUGUUAAUUGCUGCCCAGAGGCAAGCAUAUCUUUUGUUUCACCUCAGCAAGUUCUUUUUUUAGUUACAGUAAUGUUAAUUAAGUAUUGCCAAUAGAUAGGUAGGCUUGCGAUUCUCGAGUUUUUUUAGGGAUUAUUUCAACUUACAUCAUUGGAUGAUUUAAUACUCUUAUAAUGACACUAAAUUUUCCAUGUAAUUUUCAUAUUUCUUAUAAUCCUGUAUACAUAGAAAUGUGGUUUUUUUUUUUAAUUAAAAGCAAGUAAAUGUAUCUGAUAAAAAAUAUACAAAAUUGGAGAAUCAACAAGUUUAGGGUUAUUUUUUUUUAAUGUGGCUAGAGGUUGUUUUUUUUUUUUUCAUGUAAUUUUCACAUUUCUUUAUGUGAGUUGAUGUUAUUUCUUUUUAUUUUCUUUUCUUCUCCUUACUUUUCUCACUGUGGUGACUUUCCUCUCUCACUACAAAGAGAUUUUGGUUUUGGACUUGGAGAAUUUGGGUUCAAGAAGGGUUAAAGAAAACAAAUAGGCAUUACCUCUCCUUACUGUUUACAAUUAGAGAAUUGAAUGUGGAAGAGCCAAAGAAGAGUUGGGCUUUUAUUUUGAAUUUUUGUUUUCAUAAUUUAAGGGAUUCAAUCUAUGUAUUAGGAUGUUAGUUGGACUGAAACAAACUCGAUUAAUGUCUAAAUUAUAGGCUUGUAGAAGAACAGAAGGUUUAUUUUUUUAGGCUCUGUGAAUUGGAGACUAGCAGGUUAGGAUUUUGGGAAAUCCUAGCCAACCGAUCAAUCGGUUGGUCUAAACUAGCUGACUGAUUGGUUUGUGUAAUGGUCGACCGGCUAACCCUACAAUAGUAGUUAAUCGGUCUAUUAUGUUCGAAAUCAAUUAAGUGAAUCGGUUCAGCUUUAUUAUUAUGAUUUCGUUUCUAAGUUUAGGGCUUUCAUAUUUUAUAUUAUGUUACUUUGAGUCAUUUUUUAGUUUUUUUUUUAUAUUUGUUAUAGGUUUUAUUGACGUUCCUCCUACCAAGCCUUAGAAAUCUUCGAUUUUGCAUUCGUUUAUUUUUUUUAUUUUAUUUUUCGAGUGAGUGGGAUAAUUUCUAUUAUGUAUUAUACAUACAUAUAUAGGAGGCCAAUCCAUACACUACUGACACCCUACUCACGAACUAGAAAAUAAAUAUCAUGUACAUACAAGCUAAUAACUCUAUGUUAGCAUGAUUUACCUUUAAAUUUAAAAAAUAAAUUGAUGAAUUAACAUUAACUAAAAACAUUUUGUGAAAUAAUAUAUUUUUGGUUUGUCACAAUUAUAAUCAUGAUAUAUAUUAAAUAUCAUAUUUUUAAAUUGCAAUAAAUAAUUGAUAUUAUAAUUAAAAAGUAAAAUUUUAAUUAAUUUGAUGAUUUUCAACUACAACAUCAAUUAAUUGUUGUUUCAAUAUCAAUUUUCAUCUAUUUUAGUUGAAGUUUAUACUCAAAGAAAUUUAUCAAAGCUUGCUGUACAAGCUGUUUUAAUGCAGACACGACAUUCUAGAAAAUUUACAGUGGUUUCUUUAGACGCAAUUAAGGAAUCAGUUUGUCUGGGUAAUAUGAUAUUUACUAAAUAUUAUUUUAAAAAAAUACAAACAAUAUUAUUAUGUAAUUUUUUUUUUAUUAUUGUGCUAAUUAAAAAAAAUCGUAAAAAAAUAGUACAGUGAAAGCUACCGAACCUCGAACAAGGGAGCUUGAUCAUGGGAACCGUGAAUCCCAUACCCAACUGUUGUUUCCUGGUUUCUAUGCUCGAUCAUGUGUGUGUCUUUCCAUUUUGUUUAUUUUUCUUUUUCAAUUUUUUCUUUAUUUUUAAUUUAGCCCUUGAUUGUCAUAUUCAGUCAAUUUUGGAUUGAUUUUUCAAGACUUCUUUCAAGUAAGCCCUGGAUAACAUUCAUAAUCAUCCUUCAAUAUUGAGACCUUUUACACUUCAGCUCUUGGAUGUUUAUUUUGUACAAUUUUUUUCUUCAAUUAGGCUCCUAAUGGAAUUAAUAUGGUCGUCAUAUCCUAGCAUCUAUUUCAUUUUGAUCCUUGAUCUUUUGAUUAUUCUAAUUAUGAUCAAAUAUUUUGACUCUAAAUUUCAAUCUUCCUUUUCAAUUGAGCCCUUAAUCAAACCAUUUAAAUCCUCAAAUUUCAAUGGCCCUUCCAUUUUGUUCUUUGGUCCUUUAAUUUUGGUCAAAAGGACUCCAAAUUUUAAGUUUUUCUUCAAUUAAGCCCCUAAUUGAGUUAAUUGAAAUUCCAAACUUUUCCAUCUCUUUUAUUGUGGUCAUUGACUUGUAAAUUUAGCCAAUUUUUCCCUUAAUUCAAAAUCUUCUCCUCAAUUACGCUCUCAACUAAAAUAAUAUGACUUCAAAAUUUAAUUUGCCAUCCUUUUUAUUUUGGUUAUUGGUCUUUUAUUUCUUUUAGCUAUGAUCAAUUUAAACACUUUCUUCAAUUAAACCCCAAAUUACAUACCCACAUAACUUGUUGACCAACUACAAAAUAAAUUCUUGUCUAAUUACAGCCCGAAGUUAUAUUUUAUUUUUAAAAUUCCACAUCAUUGCACAACCUUUUUUUUUCUUUUCAAAAUUCUAUAUAUUUCGUUUGACAUUCUGUUGGUAUAUACCAACAGAAUAAUUCUAUCAGAAUAUAUCAACGGUUUUACCGAUUGAUUUACAUUCGUCAGUAAAUAUCACCAUAAACUAUCAACAUAAAAAUUUCAUCGAUAAUUCCAUUGAUUUUGGUCAAAUUUCUAAUAAUGUUUCAAGAUGUUUAAUAUUACUGAGAAGCAUAAUCAUACUGUAGAUUUAUUGGCUAAUUAAGCAAGCAUGGAGAAGAAUUGUUUUGUGCAAUUUGCUUCCUUGUCCACCAUAAGUUUAUUGAAAGUUUCUAAAUACUUAGAGUUUUUUUGUUUAGAUAAUCUCAUUGUUGAUAUUUUAAAUUGUUUGAUGUAUAUUUAUAGUCAGAUUUUAAUAAUAAAUAUUUUAAAAAUACAUUAAAAUAUUUUUUUUAACUUUUUUUUGUUUUUAACAUCACCAUAAUAAAAUCAUGGAAUAGCUUGUUUAGAAUCAAAUCAUUAGUGGAAUUUAAUUCAAUUUCAUACAUGAAUUGAAAUUAAAAAAUAAUAUAUUAUAAUUCUUAAAUCCCGUAAUUGAAUUUAAUUUAAACACAUAUGGGAUGAUGAAUUGAAUUGGCUAUUUUGCUUUUAAUUUAGAAAUAAAUUUGAUACAAAAUCAACAACAUAGAUAAAACGUGGAUAUGCAUAUCAUUGGAUUCACCGAAUCAAGUCAUUUUUUUUUUUAGUUUUUCCUGAAUUUGAAGUCCACUACGACUCUGAUAUUUUCAAGAACUGAAGACAUUAACGAGAAAUGAAGACAAGUUCAAUGCAUCAAUUUUGCAAGAACCCUACUUUGCAGUAUUUAUGAUAUUUUCAUUAUUAUUCUGAAGACAGCAAGAGUGACUGAUUUUGCCUGAUGGGAUCGUAACAUGGAAUGAGGGGACCAGUGGGCCAGAUAGGACAAAGAAUUGACUAAAAAAAGAUAAAAUACUUAAUUAACAUGACUGUAACUUUGAUGUUGAUGCCCAACCAAUCCUAAGGCAAGCAAUUUUGACUUAUUGAUAUAGAUAAAACAGCACGGGAAAAUCACAGUCACACACAAGAAAGAUAAAAUUAGUUGAAUUAUGCAUUUAUUAUUGAAUAUUUUUUUUAAUGUGAUUUACUUUUUAAAGGUUUGCAGCUGUUUAAAUAGAUAAAAAUUCAAUCUUUAUAAAUAACGAAAAUGAAAAUUUUAAGCCAAAUAAAAAAGUCAAUAUAUAAUUCAAAAUCAAGUUACCAAUAAAAAAUAAAAAGAAAUAUAAUAAAAUUGGUUAAAACAUCAUCUUUCAAACUUAAUUUAAGAGGCUUUGACGUGAACAAAAAUAACACAAGAAAUAGUUCAAGCACAAGCAACAUAAAAUUUCAUUGAAUAGAAUCACCAUCCAAAAACUCUAAUUUUUUUUACUAAAUAUUUAUUUUUACAUAAUUUAUUGAAAUACAAACUAAACAACUUAUUAGGGAAUACUAAUAUAUCACUGAAUUCUCAAUGAUAUUUAUUCUAAUAAAGAAGCUUGUUUACUCAUGUUUUUAAAAUGAAUUCUAAAAUUUAGUUAUGAAUUCAUGAUCAUUUUCUUUGCAAUUCUCUAGUCUUCUUCUUUUUAUUAAUAAAUAAUUGAAUAAGUCUUCACUUGUCUUUGUAAUUUUUUUUUAUUAACGUGGAUGUUCGGACUAGCUUGCACGUACCUCGACUAAUCUCACGGGUCUUAAAAUUAACUAUCAUAUAAAUAAUCACAGAGCUCAAAUCUAAAACCAAAAAAAAAAAAAGAAAGAGAGAGAUGACUAUCUCCUUUUCUCACCAUGGUCCAUCAAUGACUUUAGAAUACAUUAAAGUCUUUGGGAUACAACCUAUUUCCUUCAUUCUUUGUUUUCAGUGUUAUCCAAUGAAUUGGUCGCUAGUAUUAAAUGUCCGGCUUGUUUAUUUUUUUUGUUUUAAAUUUUUUUAAAAAAAUAUUUAAAUUUUUUAUUUAUUUAUUUCAAAUUAAUAUAUUUUUAGUAUUUUAAAAUUAUUUUGAUAUACUAAUGGAGCAUCCUCGGGGCCCCUACUCUGUUCGUUCAUGGACAGGCAGCAAGCAAGUUCGUCUUCAGUGGCGACAGCAACACUCUGGGCAGUCAGCAGCCAUCGUCGAUAAGUAGGGUUUGCGGUUGGGAGGAAUAUCCUGGAACUAAGUGGCCAUGACCAUAAACGCGUAAGGGGCGCUCUCUUGUCUUUCUUAAAGCCUGAAGUUCUGAAGCAAUAUGUUAGUAAGAUGGAUGAAGAGAUUAGAAAGCAUUUCGAGAUGCAUUGGCGCGGCAAGAAAAAAUGUUUUGGUCAGUGAAUUUUAUCUAAAAAAAGCUAACCUCCACUGAUUAUAUAUAUCACAAGUAAUAUUUUGUGUUUUUGCAGCUUUGAUGCCUUUUAUAUCUGAUUUAUCUCUUGACAACAUAGGCAAUGCCAUCGAUUAAGACCCUCACCUUCAAUAUUAUGAGCUCGCUGAUUAUUGGGAUAGAGGAAAGUGCAAAAAGAGACAUACUCCUACAGCUCUUCGAACAACUAAUGGAGGGUGUUCUAUCAGUACCAUUCAAUUUUCCCUUCACACGAUUCAAUCGAAGCCUCCAAGCAAGUGGGAAAAUCAGACCGAUUUUAGAGGAUCUUAUCCGAGAAAAAAGAGCUGCAUUGGAGCAUGGAACUGCCUUUCCUCAACAAGAUCUUAUCACGACCUUGCUUAGUCUCCGAAACGAGGAGAAUUCAGCAGUAUUAACUGAUGAGGAAAUUAUAGAUAAUGCAAUCGUGAUAAUGAUAGCAGGCUAUGACACCUCCUCCGUCCUCCUCAGUUUGUUGAUCAGGCUUUUAGCCGAUGAUCCAUCU
rnacentral:lncRNA from 1 species